UGGGCCUAUAGCUCAGCUGGUUAGAGCGCACGCCUGAUAAGCGUGAGGUCGAUGGUUCGAGUCCAUUUAGGCCC
rnacentral:tRNA from 1 species